rnacentral:rRNA from 1 species
CACGUAGGGGGCAAGCGUUGUCCGGAUUUAUUGGGCGUAAAGAGCUCGUAGGCGGUUCGGUAAGUCGGGUGUGAAACCUCCAGGCUCAACCUGGAGAGGCCACCUGAUACUGCUGUGACUCGAGUCCGGUAGGGGAGCGUGGAAUUCCUGGUGUAGCGGUGAAAUGCGCAGAUAUCAGGAGGAACACCAGCGGCGAAGGCGGCGCUCUGGGCCGGAACUGACGCUGAGACGCGAAAGCGUGGGGAGCGAACAGG